GUAUGGUCAGGCGGGAUCAUCUGCCAGCUGGAGGUCUCAGGACUGUGGAAAACCAUGUAUUCUAGCAGUAUAUUCUCUGGCCCAGCCGACCAUUACUAUCUUCAUAACGCUUAUGAAACUGUGCCUUCUCUAAGGCCAUUCACAGCUCUCGACUGGGCUAUCCUUCUUUGCCCUCUGUGCAUAAUUUCAUGCUUAUUUGAUCUCCCCAACCUCUGCACUGACCUGGCUUCUUGUGUUAUAUCCUAAACAACUUGUUCUUGGUUUCAUCCACUCAGUUCUCUGGAUCAGCCAGCUUCACACAGAAGUGACAGCACUUCUGAAAUCCCCUCUUAGUCACUUUUGUAACUUCAACCUCUGCUAAAGGUAGACACUCACUCUAUAGACCAGGCCUUGAGCUCAAAGAUCCACCUGCCUCUGCCCCCUGGCCCCCUCCACCUCCCCACGAGUGCUGGGACUAAAGGUGUGAACCACCACCACCACCACCACCACCACCCAGCUCCCUUGUUUUCUUAACAUUGAUCUAUUUAUAACUAGAGUGAGCAAAGCAGUGGUGGUGCACAACUUUAAUCCCACCACUCAGGAGGCAGAGGCAGGUGGAGCUCUGUGAUUUCGAGGCCAGCCUGGUCUACAAUAUGAGUUCCAGGACAGCCAGGGAUACACAGAGAAACCCUGCCUCAAAAAGAAAAUCAAAUAAACCCCCACAGAGUUACACCUUAUCCACUGCCCAAUGUCCUGCCAUUGGUUCCCAGACCAGAGCCUAGAGCCUGAAAUGGUCAUAUGCUCAGGCCCCAUUGCAAAGGACAGUGGGAAGGCACCUGCUUGUCUAACCUCUGGGGUGGCAAAGCUCGGGAGGGACUCCUCCUUAGGCAGCAGAGAUGCUCACUGGUGUGGGCUGUGCACACUCUGGUUUUCUUUCCUCUAAACUUGUGGGCCCCCAGGUUCAAGCUUUUAAUUUUCAGGUUUGCAUAUCUAUAAGUGCCUCCGUGUAUCUAUGUGGACCACAUGUAUGCCUGGUGCCUGUGGAAAUGAGAAGAAAGCAUUGAAUCCCCUCAAAAAGUGUUCUUAACCCCUUAGCCAUCUCUCCAGCCCCAGGUUCAAAUCCUGAGCACCGUCUGAACUAGUCCUGUGUCCAAGACAGUAUCAUCAAACCCUGCCCUUCCCGCCUUGUGCCAGCUCGCGCUUUUUCUUACAUCUGUAUGUUGAUGCUUAGCAGGUUCCUUGAAUGCUUGGUUUAUGUGCCUGGCUGGAGGAGACACCCAUGGCCUUGCAGAGGGAGCGUUCUGGUGGGAAAGCAGACACAACCCACCCUAGGCCCGUGGUUUCCCUGCAAGAAGCCCAGUGGCUUUCUGGAGGACACUUUUCCUGGAGGAAGUGACUCAAGCACAAGUUCUUGGUGGCCUCAAUUCACGGUCUCUUCCUGUUGAUCAGCAGUGGGCAGAGACCACCUCCCUCAUUGCCGCUUUGGGUUUGGACCGCUUUAAACAGUAAAGUGACUGUCGACGGCUCAGUCUACAGGGAGGAGAACAAAAGACAGGGUCAGGGCUGGGCAGACUGGACAGGAGCAGCAUAAGCCAGGCUCUAUGGAAUGUUGGGUGAGCUGCUUGAGGAACUCCAAGGCCUGUCCCACAGUCUUCCAGCCUCCGACUCUCCGGCCCUCAGCGAGGAAGUCCCACUGGUUUUUUUGGUUGGUUUUUUUUUUUUUUUUUAAGGUUUUUUGGUUUUUUUUUUUUUUUCUCAUUCCUGUCUUGGGAGCUUUCCCCAACCAGGAGAGUGAAGAUGGGCGGAGCUGUCACACCAACUGUUAGCCUGCCUUGGCUGAGAGGAGAGGAGGCGAGGAGGGAGCGACCACCCAGCUUUAGUCGUUUUAAAACAGCUCCUGACCCUAGAAGAAGGGAAAUGGAGAUGAAGACCCAAUUGACUUGAGAGAGUGAUCUUUCAGCAGACUGAUCGAACACACAGGCUUCUCAGCCCACUCCCUCCAGUCAAGGUUAAGGCCUGGCAAAGGUGGAGGAAGAGAAGCUGAGGAGAAAAAGGCGAGGAGAGCCUAGGCACAGGAAGGUGACCGCUUCCCUCCCUCCCAGUGCUGAUUUCCUGUGGACCAGAUUCCAGCACAGUGGAGGGCCAGAGCUCAGGGAACAGACCCAGCAGCACAGCAAGUCUCCAAGGAAAGCUCUAGCAGUCUCCAGGGGCUGAAGGCAGGACUGGGGAAGCGGCUAGCCAGGCUGCAGAAGGCAAAUGCUCCCAGACGGCUGUCCAGCACGCAUCCGCCUUCCUAGCCAAGUUUCCUGGGCUCCUGCCACAGAUCUAAGCCUCAUCCUGACAUCCUGCCCUCUGUGCUCUGGGAUGGCCCAGGGGAGAUGCUUAGCCUUGGCUCCUUGUCUGCUGGUGGAGGGGACACACACCCUUUCUGGACCACAGACCAAAAAGAAGACCUGACGUCAUCCUGAGCACCCCCGCCAUGCAGAGUGUGUUCGCAGACUGCCAACGGGCUGGCUCCGGCCAGCAGAAGUGAACAGAGGUGGAGGUUCAGCCUGACAGCUUCUCCCCAAAGCCAUGGAGAGAAAACCUUACCACCCCCACCGCCCAGCUACUUCCAGCAAGUUGUCCAGCCUGACCCCUCUAUUUCCCCUGUUGUCUCUUAUCUGGGUCCCUGAGACCCACCCCAUCUCCAAUAAAGAACAUUGCAUACUGUGCAUCCACUACUGAACAACAUAGUCACACCAGGCAGGGCUCCCUAAAGCCUACCUGCAUGGCCAGCGUGGUCCGAGGACAGUGUGCUCUCCCCACCCUGUCUGCUAGCCUCCAGCUUCAUGGGAACUCCAUUAAUCAUGGGAUUCCGAGAUCAUCAGAGCAAUAGGAUCACUCCGUCUCCAGGGGAGCACAAGGCAAGAGCCAGAGCGGGACUGUUCUUCAGUCAAGGGGCAGGGGUUGCUGCCUCU
rnacentral:lncRNA from 1 species